rnacentral:tRNA from 1 species
GCCUUCAUGGUGUAGCUGUCAGCACGCUCGACUUGUAUUCCAGAGGUUAGUGGUUCGAGUCCCGGCGAAGGCA